UAUGAGGUGGUCGAUUUAAGUCGGUAGAUUGUAAAUCUAUGAAUAAGUACAUACUUUCUCAUAA
rnacentral:tRNA from 1 species